rnacentral:lncRNA from 1 species
UCAUCAUAUGAUUGGUUUUAGGGCACAUUUCCAACAGUCUGUUGGCUAGAGACUUCGAAUUGAAUCUAUGCAUGGGCCGAAGUGGCGGUUGUUCGGAGGCGGUAUUUGUAUACCCUAUACUGAAGCUUUGUAAGUGAAGCUUUGAAGCUGGAGCUCUGUAAAUAAAGCUUUUGAAGCUAGAGUUUUUGUAAAUGAAGCUUUUGAAGCUGUAGCUCUGUAAUGAAGCUUUCGAAGCUAGAACUUUUGUAAAUGAAGUUUUUAAAGCUGUAGCUCUGUAAAUAAAGCUUUUGAAGCUAGAGCUUUUGUAAAUGAAGCUUUUGAAGCUGAUUGACAUGAGUGAUGCUUAUGAAUGUUUGAUUGACAUGAGUGAUGCUCAUGAAUAUUGACAUGAGUGAUGCUCAUGAAUAUUGACAUGAGUGAUGCUCAUGAAUGUUUAUGUAUGAUUGAUAUGAGUAAUGCUCAUGUAUAAUAUGAAGUAUUGGGCGUACUUUUGAUCACCUGGUUGGUGGUAAUAGCGGCAGGUUGCUGAAUAAUUUUGAAGUACUGGGCGGACUUUUUAUCACCUGGUUGGUGGUAAUAGUGGUAGGUUGCCGAAUAAUUGUGGAGUACUGGGCGUACUUUUUAUCACCUGGUUGGUGAUAAUAGCGGCAGGCUGCUGAAUAAUUUUGGAGUAUUGGACGUACUUUUGAUCACCUGGUUGGUGAUAAUAGCGGCAUGCUGCCGAAUAAUUUUGGAGUACUGGACGUACUUUUGAUCACCUGGUUAGUGAUAAGCAAGUGGGUGUCUAGUCAAACAAGAGAUCACCAUGAGCACGUGGCUCAUCAGUCUAUAAGUUGGUAGACUUCUUUAAUCAGCAACAAUGUUGAUCAGUGGAUCUAGUUACUCAAUAAUUCCUGACAAUAAAUGAUAGUAUAAGUACGACCGUAUAAUGAAUAAAUCAAAUUGACAAAAUUUGUCAAGGCAAAAUAUUGUAUUAUGUGCCUUCUAUGAAUAAAUGAUUUAUUCUGUUGUGUGAUAAAUGAUAUGUUGCAUAAAUCAACAAUAUAUUAGGUAUUGCCUAAAUGUGUGUGUAUAUAUAUAAUCAUGAAUAAAUGAUUUAUUCAGUUGUUUGAUAAAUGACAUGCUACAUAAAUCAACAAUAUAUUAGGUAUUGCCUAAAUGUGUGUGUGUAUAUAUAUAAUUAUGAAUAAAUGAUUUAUUCAGUUGUUUGAUAAAUGACAUGCUGCAUAAAUCAACAAUAUAUUAGGUAUUGCCUAAAUGUGUGUGUAUAUAUAUAUAAUCAUGAAUAAAUGAUGUAUUCAGUUGUUUGAUAAAUCACAUGUUGUAUAAAUCAAUAACUUGGUAGUAAUCAUGUGAUAUCAGAAAUAAUAUUAUUUAAUCAUAAGUCAUUAUGACAUAAAAAUAAUAAAAUUAUUAUUUUAUAAUUAGCCAUCAUGACAAAGAUAAUAAGAUAUUAAAUAAACAAAUGAUAAUUUUAAAUAAAUCAGCCAAAAGAUAUGACGCUUAUCUUUUUCCAUAUGGUCGACAGUUGCAGGUUGUUAAUGUGCGCCUACUUGAGCGUUUUACUUUUUCUUUUCUCUUUUAGCAGAUGGCAGACAUCAACAUAGCCUGUUAUCUUUGGCGGGGUCGGUUAAUAAUGG